UGGGGAAUUUUGGACAAUGGGGGCAACCCUGAUCCAGCCAUGCCGCGUGAGUGAAGAAGGCCCUCGGGUUGUAAAGCUCUUUUGUCCGGAAAGAAAAGCAUUCGGUGAAUACCCGGAUGUUCUGACGGUACCGGAAGAAUAAGCACCGGCUAACUUCGUGCCAGCAGCCGCGGUAAUACGAAGGGUGCAAGCGUUACUCGGAAUUACUGGGCGUAAAGCGUGCGUAGGUGGUUGUUUAAGUCUGAUGUGAAAGCCCUGGGCUCAACCUGGGAAUGGCAUUGGAAACUGGGCAGCUAGAGUGCGGUAGAGGGUAGUGGAAUUCCCGGUGUAGCAGUGAAAUGCGUAGAGAUCGGGAGGAACAUCUGUGGCGAAGGCGACUGCCUGGACCAGCACUGACACUGAGGCACGAAAGCGUGGGGAGCAAACA
rnacentral:rRNA from 1 species